UACUCGAGGUGUCCAGACUCACUCGUCACUUAGCGUAGAAUCAGCAGCAACUCAUUAUGCGCCUGCACGCGACCGUUGUUCUUACCAUAGGGGCCAUCUUCGUUUCCGAGUGGCAUUUUUCUGAGGGAUUGGUUCCCGUAGAAAAUGGUAAAUGCCAGUACAACGGGACUGAGAUAUCAUCAUCUGAGAUGCUGAAACUGGAGGAUCCCUGCGAACUAUGGCUUUGUAGACUGAAAACAGAAGAAACCGGAGAGGUCAUCAGAGCAGGCUGUAUGCUCCUCCUCCUGACGCCAGGCUGCAAUGUGACCAAAGGCACAGGCGCCUGGCCGCAGUGCUGUGAGAGGCUUGUGUGCCACUGAUACCGUCUCCCGUGGCAACAGUCGCUUGACAAGGAAUGAGAGGAGGGCCUGGUAUAUCACCUGUGGCUCAAGCCCUUUGCUUUCGGUUGGAAGAUUCCUAGCUAACCACCAAUUUCUUCCCAUGUAGUCAUGCGUUUGGCAUAGACCCGAUUUUCUUCACAGCUAGAGCUUAAGUUUUGUUGAGACAAAAGAACAGUUGCGCUUAACAAAGCUGCGAAGGUGCCAAAAUACGCUAUUUUAAGGAAAAGGGAAAAAAACUAUUUGUACAAAAAAGAAGAGAGGUUGGCCUGAGCUGAAGUGCUACAUGCAGCCUGCUAGGCUCUACGCUGGGGAAGGGGAAAAUAGAAAGAAAGCAAGAACGGUGGUGCGAUGAAUUCCGGUGAACACGGCAGCAUAUUUGAAUCAUAACCUUGAGUGCAUGAAGUCCUGAGAUUUGCAGAUGCUGUACCAUGACCCGUACUUUUAGUGAUAAGUCUACUGCGUUACUGCCCGUUUGUAUUUGCCAGUACUCUGUUGUAAGUACAUACGUCAGUAAAAGCAAAUUUAAACGUGCCAAAUAGAAAACAGGGUGGAAAAACAAAGCAGUCAGUAGCUACAAAGCAGUGUUUGUAGUUGUGCAGAAAACAAGUGCACAUACUAAAGUUCAUGCCAAGAAUGCCAAUAAAAUAUUUGUGUCCGACA